rnacentral:rRNA from 1 species
GAUGAACGCUGGCGGCGUGCCUAACACAUGCAAGUCGAGCGGCAGCGAGGGGUGCUUGCACCCUGUCGGCGAGCGGCGGACGGCUGAGUAACGCGUGGGAACGUGCCCCAAAGUGAGGAAUAACUGCCCGAAAGGGUAGCUAAUACCGCAUAUUAUCUUCGGAUCAAAGGAUUUAUCCGCUUUGGGAGCGGCUCGCGUCGGAUUAGGUAGUUGGUGAGGUAAUGGCUCACCAAGCCGACGAUCCGUAGCUGGUCUGAGAGGAUGACCAGCCAGACUGGAACUGAGACACGGUCCAGACUCCUACGGGAGGCAGCAGUGAGGAAUCUUCCACAAUGGGCGAAAGCCUGAUGGAGCAACGCCGCGUGCAGGACGAAGGCCUUCGGGUUGUAAACUGCUUUUAUAAGUGAGGAAUAUGACGGUAACUUAUGAAUAAGGAUCGGCUAACUGCGUG